UAUACCGUGAAACUGCGAAUGGCUCAUUAAAUCAGUUAUCGUUUAUUUGAUAGUACCUUACUACUUGGAUAACCGUGGUAAUUCUAGAGCUAAUACAUGCUGAAAACCUCGACUCCGGAAGGGGUGUAUUUAUUAGAUAAAAAGCCAAUGCCCUUCGGGGCUUUCUGGUGAUUCAUAAUAACUNAACGAAUCGCAUGGCCUUGCGCCGGCGAUGGUUCAUUCAAAUUUCUGCCCUAUCAACUUUCGAUUGUUGGGUAGUGGCCAACAAUGGUGUUUACGGGUAACGGGGAAUUAGGGUUCUAUUCCGGAGAGGGAGCCUGAGAAACGGCUACCACAUCCAAGGAAGGCAGCAGGCGCGCAAAUUAUCCAAUUCCGACACGGAGAGAUAGUGACAAUAAAUAUUAAUCCAGGGAUCUUUAGGUUCUUGGAAUUGAAAUGAGUACAAUUUAAAUCCCUUAACGAGGAACAAUUGGAGGGCAAGUCUGGUGCCAGCAGCCGCGGUAAUUCCAGCUCCAAUAGCGUAUAUUAAAUUUGUUGCAGUUAAAAAGCUCGUCGUUGAAACUUGGAUCUGGUCGGUCGGUCCGCCUCACCGCGUGCACUGAUUCGACCGGAUCUUUCCUUCUGGGGAACGCAUGCCCUUUAUUGGGCGUGUCGGGGAACCAGGACUUUUACUUUGAAAAAAUUAGAGUGUUCAAAGCAGGCCUAUGCUCGAAUACAUUAGCAUGGAAUAAUAGAAUAGGACGUGUGGUUCUAUUUUGUUGGUUUCUAGGACCGCCGUAAUGAUUAAUAGGGAUAGUCGGGGGCAUCAGUAUUCCGUUGUCAGAAGUGAAAUUCUUGGAUUUACGGAAGACUAACUACUGCGAAAGCAUUUGCCAAGGAUGUUUUCAUUAAUCAGUGAACGAAAGUUAGGGGAUCGAAGACGAUCAGAUACCGUCGUAGUCUUAACCAUAAACUAUGCCGACUAAGGAUCGGGCGGUGUUAUUAUUUU
rnacentral:rRNA from 1 species